ensembl:lncRNA
UUUUUUUUUUUUUUUUUUUUUCCUAUUAUUCUACCAAAGGAGCUAGUCUGAUUUGGAACAACCACCUUAGCCAGUUAGUUCAGGAUCACGAUUCACUGAUAAGACGCCAAGGAGAAAAACUACUAACAUUUUCCAAGAAACUAAGGGCUUAAAAAAUAUGCAAUAAUCCAGAUCAAGUAUGAUUGCAUAUCAGCAUCUCUCGUUCAAACGCCUAUUUAUAGGGCACACUUAAAAAAACAAAAACAAAAAAAAAAACAAACAAAAAAAACCCACAUAAACGGUGAGUGACAUUUUCAUGAGGUUUUUACUUUCUAGAAGAAUGGCCCGUCUAUGGAUUGAAGGUGCCACUUAGGCUCCUUUUCAAGUCGUGGCACACUGCAGCCUGACAGCAGAAAAUUGUGUUUCGAUUUCCUCCUUCUUAGCCCAGCCUUCUCGAGACAUAAUUCCCUGUGAGCAGAGACAUCUAUUUCUUAGACGUGACAGUGAACGUAUUUUUGUUUAAAGGUGGAAGGAAUGAAUUAAGCCUAUUCGUCAUAAUCAUCUGUGUCAAGAGCUUCAAUUGGCUGCACCCUUAGAAAUCCAUGAAACUCCCAGUUUGUCCCCGGCCUUCUCCUUUUCUCAGCUGGGAGUAAAGCUGGGCACUCUGGUGUUUGGGGGGUAAGAAGAUCCCCGAGUGCCUUCACAGUCUCUAGUCUUUCUGAGUCACGCUCAUUGUUAAAUCCUUAUUUCACAACUUGAGCCCCGCUCCUGUGUGAUGGUAGGACACGCCAUCUGUGUGCAAAGCUUUGCUCAGGACACCGGGGGUGGUGUCCAUGUCGGGGCUGUGCCUGCCAUCUCCCACCCUGGACCCCUGCAGGCUGUCUGGGUGCUUCCACAUCUUCGACCUACAUAGGAGCUUGUGGCAACGCUGGAUCCUUGACCCCACCGAGCGAGGCCAGGGAUCGAAUCCGCAUCCCUCAUGGAGACUACGAUUGGGUAUUAGUUGGGUGCAUAACCUGCUGAGCCACAAUAGGAACUCCGAAGUUAUAUAUAAUUUAUAGCAAUUCAAAACACAACGGAGAAGCUCCUUGUACCAGAAGAACUUGGUAAAAUAAUUUAAACACACGUGUGCAUUUCCAUUCAUAUACAUUCAGAGCUGUGUCGGGUUCUGAAUCUGCCGGGCCACGGCAGGAACUCCUAUUUUCUCCUCAAUAUACAUGUGUUCCUCUUUAAAACACUAUCACACAGUAAAACUGACGUGGGAGGGGGGUGCAACGUUGGAUGAUUUUCACACUUUUGUAAUCGGAGAAAAACCACCUACACACCAUCUUAAGAUGAACUGUCAUGAGAAAGCCUCUCAAAACCUUCUGGGAUCCUUCUGUAGCCACUCCUGGAACUGGCCCUGCUUUUCUUUCUUCCUCUUUCCCCUUCAGAAUUCUGACAUGAAUUCUCCAUCCAGCACCUGUGGGUGCAGCAGGCCUCCCUGGAAGUGGCUUGGAAGAUGGAAGUGGAUUCUGGUUUGUCUGACCCCCUCAUUCAAGUGCACAAUCCUGGUGGGUUGAGAACCUAACAUACAAGGCAGGGCGGGGCCGACUGAAUGCCGAGCAGAGCAGAGAUACUCCACAAGCCCCCAGCCUGUGCACCCAACUGGAGGUGAUGACACACCCCUGGGGCCUCUGAUCUUUUUCAGCAUUUUUCUAGCUUUUUCUCAAGCCCACACAUUGCCUUUCAUGCUCAGAUUGUGGUUCCGGAGAACUUGGCAGCAGUCAGCUAAAAGCUAGAUGAAUACAGUGGAGUAUUUCCCUCUAAAAUAGCUGACAGGAUGAAACAGAAAUGAAAGUUCGCUUCCUUGAUCAAGGCUGAGCAGUUAGUUUGAGAAGCCGGGUUCCGAGGUUUAUUUCACGGGGAGAAAACGGUGCCCAGGAAGGCCCAUCUGCGGACAAGAGAAGGAGCUGAUUCAACUGCCCUUGGUUUUUGAAAAUCACACAGAUCGUUAGGUGGGAAGAUCAAAUGUUUUCUGUAAAGAACUAACUUACCCUUCACACACGAGGCUGACCACUCUUGCAGCGUCUGUGAGACUGUCUUCCUUCUAGAAAGUGUAGAUGAGAAGUUUGGACGGACCAAGUGGGGCGAGCCACACAGCCGUGUGUCAGCUAUGUCCUGGGGGGCCGGCCACAAGGAACUCUCAACUACAAAGUGUUGGUGGAUUCAAUCUCUGCUGCCAAACAAGAGCCACCGCCAAAUAGGCACCACACCUGCCCGGAAUUAAUUCCACUUCUCUCCAUGUGAUGGGAGAGAAAGUGUGAGCUUAAUCUGUAUCAUGUGCCUCGCAAAAGCUCCAGACAGACACCAGCCUGGAGUGAGAAAUGUGGAUUUUUUUCAGUUACUAAUGUUUAAAGGGUAACAUUUCCUUAGUUUCAUAAAACAGAAUGAAGGCUUUUUUUUUCGGGCCCUGCUUUAGAGGAAAUCUGGACAGAGUUGCUUCUGUAGGCAUUCGCUGCUGGUAGGAAAAAAGACAGCAGCACGUAGAAAUAUCUUUCCAUUUAGAGACAGUCCAGUAUCACAUACACAGGCAACCUGCUUACGGGGAGACAUGAAAAGCCUCAGUAUAAGGGGGUGCAUUUUCUGAGGGUUCAAGGUCUUCACCAAAAGACGUCCACAAGCCCAGAAAGCUGAGAAAGUGCCCGCCCCCUUCCAGCAACGUGAAUCCAAGUGUAAAAGACGGAACUGUCAACAGCCAACAAAAUAAGCAGGAGAAAUGAUCGGUGGCUCUUAACUGACUGAAAUGGGAGAGGACUUUG